CAUAAAAAAGGACACGGACACAUGUUCGAGAAGAAGCACGGAUAACACUGGAAGAAAUGUUCCACACCUUCCGAAUCGGGGCAGUGAAUAAAAGAGAUCCACGCAGUGCUCUUUUGGCUUACUGAUUAAUAUAAUAUAAUAUAACCGAGACACCGAGAUGUCCUUAAAAUCUUUGACAUUCUGCACCCAUUUUUCGGCUGUAACCCAAUCCUCCAGCCAAGUCAGUGUGCUCCUAAGGGCAAGGAAAAUUGCAACAUUUCACAUGUCACAACGAGGGCGAUUUCCCUACCCCAAAUAAAAUGGACCAUGUCGAAUCCUGCGGGUUCCGUUGAUUUCCUCGCCCGAAAAAAAAACCCAGCCACGCGCGUUUCAAAUCCCUUUAGUUACACUGUUUCAAAAUUAAAUAUUUACAUUUUGUAUGCGGAGGCGGAUGCGGCGGGCAUGAGGCCUGAAUCUCGAUUCACAUGUGGGUGUUUUGGCCGGAAUGGUGGUAUCUAGCAACUGGAUACACUGGCCAUCUAAUCGGUGGUGGCUGCCACUCCGUCAGCUGGCCGUGAGCACUUGUCGUGGACAGAGGCGCAGCUGGUCAAGGGGACUACCCGAUGCUGGACCCCACCGAGGGACGCCCCUGGCAGUCGCAUAUGAGCUCAGAUCAUCAAUUCCCCGUUGGCCGGAUGGGGUGGUGGCCACCAUGCAGUUUCCGAUGCGCGUUUAUUUAGUAAUUUGUUUGUCUCCCGACUUAGUCACGGUUUAUGGUUGACAUUUAUUUUAUGAGCGUGAAAAAUAUAUCACUCGCCAGUGGCAGCCACGCCACCCACCGCGGGAUUCCAGGCGGGGUGCAGGCAGGUGGCUGCACCACCCACUCCACCCACUUGCGCCACUUAAGCCAAUUUUGAUAGCGGCUUAUUGAUGGUCGAGCGACUGGCGAUUUGUGCAUUGGUCUCGCUCCAACUUGCUGAUUGAAUCAGUGCGGAAGUGGGACGAGGACGAGAUCGAUGGGCAGUUCGUGGUCGUACGUACAAUCUGUACUCCUGGUCAGGCGAGUCGGAUCUUAAUGGCUAUGGUAGUUCGAGCACUUGA